AAAAUGUAUGCUUGGAGUUAUCUGACCAAAUUAGCAACUGAGAUAUUUCCUUUGAGAUAAUUAUUUUUAGGGUUUUUGUAAUUGGAAAAUUACUUAUCAAGGGUCUUUAAGUGAUUUUCAUUACUAAGUACAUAUAGCUAACUCUCGCAUUUCUGUUCCCAUCCCUGGCCUAGUUAAAUCUUCACAGCUGCAUUGAAAUUACCUGUUCUUAGAAAUCAGCUAAAUGUGUUAUGUCAUAUAUACAUCUUCCACCCUGAAAAAGCUGUCCAUUCACUAUUCCAUAGCUCCCAUUAACCUCAUCACUACUCUCCCAGCUGUCUAGGCUGUGCAGUAUGAAGAAAUAAAAGGAGUUGGGAA
rnacentral:lncRNA from 10 species